GAUGAACGCUGGCGGCGUGCCUAAUACAUGCAAGUCGAGCGAACAGACGAGGAUCUUGCUCCUCUGACGUUAGCGGCGGACGGGUGAGUAACACGUGGAUAACCUACCUAUAAGACUGGGAUAACUUCGGGAAACCGGAGCUAAUACCGGAUAAUAUAUUGAACCGCAGGGUUCGAUAGUGAAAGACGGUUUUGCUGUCACUUAUAGAUGGAUCCGCGCCGCAUUAGCUAGUUGGUAAGGUAACGGCUUACCAAGGCAACGAUGCGUAGCCGACCUGAGAGGGUGAUCGGCCACACUGGAACUGAGACACGGUCAAGACUCCUAAGGGAGGCAGCAGUAGGGAAUCUUCCGCAAUGGGCGAAAGCCUGACGGAGCAACGCCGCGUGAGUGAUGAAGGUCUUCGGAUCGUAAAACUCUGUUACGAGGGAAGAACAAAUGUGUAAGUAACUAUGCACGUCUUGACGGUACCUAAUCAGAAAGCAACGGCUAACUACGUG
rnacentral:rRNA from 1 species